AUUGAACGCUGGCGGCAGGCCUAACACAUGCAAGUCGAGCGGAGCGGCGGACGGGUGAGUAAUGCCUAGGAAUCUGCCUGGUAGUGGGGGAUAACGUCCGGAAACGGGCGCUAAUACCGCAUACUAUCAGAUGAGCCUAGGUCGGAUUAGCUAGUUGGUGGGGUAAAGGCCUACCAAGGCGACGAUCCGUAACUGGUCUGAGAGGAUGAUCAGUCACAAUGGAAGUGGGACAGGGUCCGACCUCCGGCGGGCGCAGGCGGGGGGGAAUAUUGGAAUAUGGCCGAAAGCUGGAUCCAGCCAGGCCGCGUGUGGAAAGAAGGUUUCCGGUUUGUAAAGCUCUUUAAUUGGGGAGGCGUCACCAACAGAAUAAGCACCUGCAAACUUCGUGCCAGCAGCCGCGGUAAUUC
rnacentral:rRNA from 1 species